rnacentral:rRNA from 1 species
UACGAAGGGGGCUAGCGUUGCUCGGAAUCACUGGGCGUAAAGGGUGCGUAGGCGGGUCUUUAAGUCAGGGGUGAAAUCCUGGAGCUCAACUCCAGAACUGCCUUUGAUACUGAGAGUCUUGAGUUCGGGAGAGGUGAGUGGAACUGCGAGUGUAGAGGUGAAAUUCGUAGAUAUUCGCAAGAACACCAGUGGCGAAGGCGGCUCACUGGCCCGAUACUGACGCUGAGGCACGAAAGCGUGGGGAGCAAACAGG